GUAGUCACCCAGCAGGGGACACACCAUGACCACAAGGUGGUUUCCCGGCGGUGUGAGGCUCCUCCGCUGCCCUCUGAUGUGCUGACCCCCGAGAUUCCCCCACACGUGGGAAAUUAACUGCAUAAUCUGUGGGAGUGGGGGCUGCGUUCACACACCCUCCUA
ensembl:snRNA Gm23405 U1 spliceosomal RNA